AUAUCUUUCUGUACGGGAAGGAUGAGAAGCUUCGACUAAGGUUCGAUUCGAGCGCAGCGAGAAAGCGUUGCCGUAGGCAACGACCCGAAGGG
rnacentral:sRNA from 1 species